CAGGUCGUAAUUUAAAAAAAAUACUGGCCUUGGACGCCAGCCUUCUGCUUUGCAGCGACCUGA
rnacentral:tRNA from 1 species